rnacentral:rRNA from 1 species
AAAGGAAGCUCAAGUGGUGGCAAAUUGGAAAGGGCCUAAAGCGUUCGUAGCCGGUUUGAUAAGUCUCUGGUGAAAUCCCGCAGCUUAACUGUGGGACUUGCUGGAGAUACUAUUAGACUUGAGGUCGGGAGAGGUUAGGGGUACUCCCAGGGUAGGGGUGAAAUCCUAUAAUCCUGGGAGGACCACCUGUGGCGAAGGCGCCUAACUGGAACGAACCUGACUGUGAGUAACGAAAGCCAGGGGCGCGAACCG